rnacentral:pre_miRNA from 1 species
UUAGCUCAUAUUUGUAUGGAAUGGAAUCGUUUACCUACGUUUGCCGCUAGGGGCGCUGUUCCAACUGCAUACAAAGUUAGGUUA